rnacentral:rRNA from 1 species
GACGAACGCUGGCGGCGUGCUUAACAAAUGCAAGUCGAACGGAAAGGCCCUGCUUUUGUGGGGUGCUCGAGUGGCGAACGGGUGAGUAACACGUGAGUAACCUGCCCUUGACUUUGGGAUAACUUCAGGAAACUGGGGCUAAUACCGGAUAGGAGCUCCUGCUGCAUGGUGGGGGUUGGAAAGUUUCGGCGGUUGGGGAUGGACUCGCGGCUUAUCAGCUUGUUGGUGGGGUAGUGGCUUACCAAGGCUUUGACGGGUAGCCGGCCUGAGAGGGUGACCGGCCACAUUGGGACUGAGAUACGGCCCAGACUCCUACGGGAGGCAGCAGUGGGGAAUAUUGCACAAUGGGCGGAAGCCUGAUGCAGCAACGCCGCGUGCGGGAUGACGUCCUUCGGGUUGUAAACCGCUUUCGCCUGUGACGAAGCGUGAGUGACGGUAAUGGGUAAAGAAGCACCGGCUAACUACGUG